rnacentral:rRNA from 1 species
ACAUGCAAGUCGAACGGAAGUCGUUGUAAUGAAAUGGAAAUGGACAGAGAACUUGUUCGAAGAAAGUUGAAGUAGACUUACAACAAUGGCUUUAGUGGCGGACUGGUGAGUAACGCGUAAGGAACCUGCCUUUUAGAGGGGAAUAACAAUGAGAAAUCAUUGCUAAUACCGCAUAUGCCGAGAGAAUCACAUGGUACAAUCGGGAAAGGAGCAGUCCGCUAAAAGAUGGCCUUGCGUCUGAUUAGAUAGUUGGUGGGUAACGGCCUACCAAGUCGACGAUCAGUAGCCGGACUGAGAGGUUGAACGGCCACAUUGGGACUGAGAUACGGCCCAGACUCCUACGGGAGGCAGCAGUCGGGAAUAUUGCGCAAUGGAGGAAACUCUGACGCAGUGACGCCGCGUAUAGGAAGAAGGUUUUCGGAUUGUAAACUAUUGUCGUUAGGGAAGAGAAAGGACAGUACCUAAGGAGGAAGCUCCGGCUAACUACGUGCCAGCAGCCGCGGUAAUACGUAGGGAGCGAGCGUUAUCCGGAAUUAUUGGGUGUAAAGGGUGCGUAGACGGGAAGAUAAGUUAGUUGUGAAAUCCCUCGGCUUAACUGAGGGACUGCAACUAAAACUGUUUUUCUUGAGUGCAGGAGAGGUAAGUGGAAUUCCUAGUGUAGCGGUGAAAUGCGUAGAUAUUAGGAGGAACACCAGUGGCGAAGGCGACUUACUGGACUGUAACUGACGUUGAGGCACGAAAGUGUGGGGAGCAAACAGGAUUAGAUACCCUGGUAGUCCACACCGUAAACGAUGGAUACUAGGUGUAGGAGAUAUUAAGUCUUCUGUGCCGUCGCAAACGCAAUAAGUAUCCCACCUGGGG